CUUCUUCAGUGAAUAGGUUUUCAAAUGAUUGUAAUACGCUUUGCACAUCAUCUUCGAGAACUGCUGUACUCAUUUGGCUGGCAUGGGUACGACUACGAGUUCAUUCACUACUUCUGUGAUUUGUUGAACCUCUGUUUCCAUUUGCUGUUGUUCAUCUAUAUUAUGCUGAUUGGAAUUUAGUUCUUUCGCCAUUUUCGUGAUGUCAUCUGUAGUUGGAAAAUGAGAUUUCUUCAAUUACAUUAAUGUUAAGUUAUACACUUUUGCCACAGGUUACCUUCCAUGUUUAAAGCUAGUUGUUUGUGUGUUUCGCAUGCAGUGGAAUUUGGUAUGGCUAUUUGCAUAAAUUGCUCAUUCACAAGGUUGGUUGCCUCUUUCUCUUCUGUUGGUCUGAUCUUUUCGUCUGUAAUUGGAAAACGAAAAAGUUAAAAAAACCGGUUUGUAAGAAA